ensembl:lncRNA
CCGACAGGAGCGGCACCCGGUGUGGUCUUCUGCUGCUGUAGCCCAUCUGCUUCAGGGUUCGGUGUGUUGUGCAUUCAGAGAUGGUAUUCUGCUUACAUUGGUUGUAACGAGUGGUUAUUUGAGUUACUGUUGCCUUUCUAUCAUCUCUAACCAGUCUGCCCAUUAUCCUCUGACCUCUGACAUCAACAAGGCAUUUUUGUCCACACAACUGCCGCUCACUGGAUAUUUUCUCUUUUUCAGACCGUUCUCUGUAAACCUUAGAGAUGGUUGUGCGUGAAAAUCCCAGUAGAUCAGCAGUUUUUGAAAUACUCAAACCAGCCUGUCUGGCACCAGCAACCAUUCAAAGUUCAAAGUCACUUGUUAGUGCCAGAAGGGCUGGUCUGAGUACUUCAAAAACUGCUGAUCUACUGGGAUUUUCAUGCACAACCAUUUCUAGGGUUUACAGAGAAUGGUCCGAAAAAGAGAAAAUAUCCAGUGAGCGGCAGUUGUGUGGAUGAAAAUGCCUUGUUGAUGUCAGAGGAGAAUGGGCAGACUGGUUAGAGAUGAUAGAAAGGCAACAGUAACUCAAAUAACCACUCGUUACAACCAAAGUAUGCAGAAUACCAUCUCUGAACACACAACAUGUCAAACUCUGAAGUAGAUGGGCUACAGCAGCAGAAGACCACACUGGGUGCCGCUCCUGUCAGCUAAGAACAGGAAACAGAGGCUACAAUUCGCACAGGCUCACCAAAAUUGGACAAUAGAAGAUUGAAAAAACGUUGCCUUGUCUGAUGAGUCUCAAUUUCUGCUGCGACAUUCAGAUGGUAGGUAGGGGUGUGCAGCGAAGCCAGUAUUUGUAUCUGUGUUUGUAUCUGUAUUAAUCACAAAAUUAUUCGUAUCUGUAUCUGUAUUCGGAAAAAACAGGUAAAAUUCGGAAGUAGGUGGAGCUUGAACCAGAACUUCGUACAGUAUUUGAUAAGACCGUUAUGUUUAUGGUUUUACAGCCUAUCUUUUUUCAUAGUUAUUACUGAAGAAAUAUGCAGUGUUUAACCAAAAUUAUUAUUAUUAUUAUUUAUAUUUAUGAUUAUAACAUUUAGCCUAUUUAAACAUCUUCUAACAGUCGGAGCCAAUUUCUUUGUAUAGGUAGUGCUUCGAGAUUGAGUGCGGUCGUGCUUGAGUUCGAGUCCCAGCUUGGGAACCUUUUGUGAUCCAAUACAUAGAUAUUUAAGUUAUCUAAAUUAAAACAGUAAUGGUUCCUACGCAAUUUAGAAAUAUGGAAAUUGAUCAUUUCCAGGAAAUGCAUGGAAAAAGGCAAUUGCAACCAGAGGUGGAAAGAGUACAAAAAUAUUCUACUCAAGUAAAAGUACCAUUACAUUAAUGAAAUUUUACUUAAGUACAAGUAAAAGUACCAGUCUAAAAAUCUACUCAAGUAAAAGUAAAAAGUAGCUCAUUUAAAAUUUACUCAGAGUAAAAAUUACUUUUACUUUUACUAAGUUACAUUUUAACAGUGGGAGGGAGGCAAAAAUGAAACAGGCCAAGGGUGUCAAACUCAGUUCCUGGAGGGCCACAGUCCUGCUGCACAGUUUAGAUAUAACCCUAAUUAAACACACCUGAUCCAGCUAAUCUAAUCAUUUAGGCUUAUUUGAAAACUACAUGAUAUGUAUGCUGGAGCAGGGUUAGAACUAAACUCUGCAGGAACUGAGUUUGACACCCCUGGGAUAGGCCUAUUAAUCUCAAACUAGUUGUUUUUAAUUAAAGGAAUCAGUUAUUUAGAAAAAUAAGACAUUUAGGCUGUUACCAGGCAAAUCAGUAUCAACAAACUCAUCUUUUCAAUGCAGAGGAAAUCCAGAAGCUUCAUCGGAAGUGGCAUUGAGAUGUAUUUACACACUGUUUAGUGCAGGACAAGAAUGCAUUUAACCUGCAGUUACAAAUGCAUGAAUAAUGUUUUGAUAUGCAAGACAUAAAAUGUUGAAUUCUCAUUUGAAAUUAUAAGAAAUUAUAAAAAAAAAAAAAAAAAUCAAAAGAUACUUUAAAUGUGAAAUUAAAAUGGGCAGUAUGUGUCAGCAAUUCACUGUUAAUAAGUGAGUCAUUGUGAUUGAACCGAAUCAUUUAAACGGUUGAUUCAUUCAGGAACGAAACACUGUCAUGUUGCUCAGAGACGCAAAACUGUGCUAUGGUGGCUGUGUUUGGAAUUAUUAUUUGUUGUAGAAAUAGAGCAAAAACAGGCAAUAUGGUGUCUAAAACGCAAGUCUCUUAAUUAACUUGUUUACUGACCUGUUGUUAAUAUAUAUAUAUAUAUAUAUAUAUAUAUAUAUAUAUAUAUAUAUAUAUAUAUAUAUAUGUAAUCAUGAUGAUUUUUGGAGGAAAAGACGGCAUUCUUUGUGUGAUUUUGAUUUACUAUAUGAAAUUAUAUAAAUAUGUAAAUGUUCUGCCCCUAUAUCUUUAAUUUUGUGAUCAUUCUAAAUGCACUUUACAAGACUGAAUUACACAGUGAAAGAACGCACUAUAAAUGCGCGCGCACAUCAUUAAAACAACAAUUAUGAUUUUAUCGCAGACGAUAUAUAUCGCACUUCGCACCACUGUCUUUUUGGCUAAUUUGUGCAAAACCUCUUGCUAAAAUGUCAAAGCUUCAUUUUAACCACCAAUGCAACAAUGCAGUUAUUUAGCUUACCUCUACAUGCUUGCGAAGGGUUGAUGUCUUGUCGAGAUUUUAGAAGCUGCUAGUUUGGUCUCCCUAGGAAAGCACAGCUUAUAAUAGAGUAUAAAUAUGGCCAGGGGUUCACUUCAUUUCCUUCGAGUUCAACUUCAGAAUAUGACGGGGUUUCGUUUUCAGCGGUGUCUUCACCACUAACGCCUGUUUUGUCCGUCUGCAUCUUUCUUGUGAUUUUAGCGCCAGUUUGCCCUCCUGCACAUUAUUUACUGCAGUAGUUUACAGGGAGUUUUUUUUUUUUUUUUUUACUCAGUAAUUAAUGUGUUUUAAAAUGUAGCGAAGUACAACUUCAAACAAAAUAUACUUAAGUAAAAGUAAAAUUACAGAUUUUAAAAAUUACUUUAAAAAGUAGAAGUACACAAAAAGCUACUCAAUUACAGUAACGCGAGUAAAUGUAAUUCGUUACUUUCCACCUCUGAUUGCAACACUGCUUUUUUAUUUGUGCUUAUUUCAUUCAUAAACUAAUUUAGGUACUUCACACAUUUGUUACUGCACUGUAAUUUUAGAGGAUUAUGUAAAAUAAUAUGAAUUCCUUUGGCUCACCGCACCGGUUCCUGCAGAGUUUAAAAAAAGUAUUUCACUUAAGUAAUUUGCAGGUCUGGAAAACCUACGGGGGAAAAAAAAAAGAACAGAGUAUGGAAAAAAUAUUUUGUCUGUAUGCCCUAUUCAGUGUUCUAAAAUAUAAAAUAAAUAAUUUCUAAAAAUAAAUUUAUCAUACAAAUAGGAAGAUUUCAUGACAAACAUUUAAGUGAAUGAAUUAAUUCAAGGUUAACAUUUCAUUAUGCAGAACUAUUUAAACGAGUCUUUUUUUUAACUUCACUAAACAAAUGUGCACAUGCCAUGCAAACCAGCAAAAGUUAAGGAAGCAAACAUGUAGGCCUAGUAGAAAAUGUAUCUGUAUUUAAGUUGAUUAUUAGCCUAUACUCUUAACAGAGAGCUGGUUUGGUUUUUGAGAGAUGGAGACAUGCAGAGAUGGCAACGCGGCUGUUUGAUUGGCAAUCGCGCUGUGCUUAUUCAUUCAUGUAUCAUACCGUAGCCUAUAAGGUUUAAAUCAUUGCCUUUUAUAUAUACACAAAUAGUAGAACGUGUAUGAUUUAAAAUUUUAGGUAAUAUUAGGCCUACUCUUGCCAAGUUCUGAUUUCUGAGAGAUGCACGGAGUGGAAACAGCAAUGCAGUGUUUGAUUUGCGCUCUUUUCAUUCAUAAAGUUUACGUUCAUUCACUUCACAUACUCACUGAGUGAAUUUAGAGGUAUGUGUAAAAUAUUGUGCUAAUCCCCUGGCUCACCUGUGAAUCUAGCAAACAACAGACUGUGCUGCAGCCUCAGCCGAAUAUUUGGGCAGAAUUAUUCGUUAUCUGUUAUUCAUAUUUGAAGCCAUUAUCCGUGCCUUUCCGAAUAAGAUAUUCGGCUUCGGGCACACCCCUAAUGGUAGGGCCAGAAUUUGGCAUAAAGAACAUGAAAGCAUGGAUCCAUCUUGGCUUGUCUCAACAGUUCAGGCUGGUGGUGGUGGUGUAAUGGUGUAGGGGAUAUUUUCUUGGCAGACUUUGGGCCCCUUAGUACCAACUGAGAUUCGUUUAAACACCACAGCCUACCAGAAGUAUUGUUGCUCACCAUAUCCAUCCCUUUAUGACUACAGUAUAAGGAUAAUGCACCAUGUCACAAAGCUCAAAUCAUCUCAGACUGGUUUCUUGAACAUGACAAUGAGUUCACUUUACUCAAAUGGCCUCCACAGUCACCAAAUCUCAAUCCUAUAGAGCAGCUUUGGGAUGUGGUGGAAGGGAGAUUCACAUCAUCAAUGUGCAGCUGACAAAUCUGCAGCAACUGCGUGAUGCUGUCAUGUCAAUAUAGACCAAAAUCUCUGAGGAAUGUUUCCAACACCUUGUUGAAUCAGUGCCACAAAUAAUUAAGGCAGUUCUGAAGGCAAAAGGGGGUUCAACCUGGUACCAGCAAGGU